rnacentral:rRNA from 1 species
UACGUAGGUGGCAAGCGUUGUCCGGAUUUACUGGGCGUAAAGAGCGCGCAGGCGGUCGAAUAAGUCGAAUGUGAAAGCCCCCGGCUUAACUGGGGAGGGUCAUUCGAUACUGCUCGACUUGAAGGCAGGAGAGGGUAGUGGAAUUCCCGGUGUAGUGGUGAAAUGCGUAGAUAUCGGGAGGAAUACCAGUGGCGAAGGCGGCCUGCUGGGCCACGACCGACACUGAGGUGCGAAAGCGUGGGGAGCGAACCGG